ACUAGAGUGGUCAGGGUUAGAGUCCAGGUUCGAACAAUCCAGAUUCAUCUACCAGUCCUUAAUGGACCAACUAAACACAUAAGUAAGAACGGAAGGUAGAAAAGAUGAAUCAAUUUGUGAUAUCACUGAGAAGUUGAGCAAAGGGGUCCAGUGACUUGGCCCCACCCAGGCCUAUGACUCAGUUCCUAACAUGAAGUUUAAAUAAAAAGCCAGAGCUCCCUGGAAUAAUUGUCCUUGGUGGGACGAUCCUCAUGUGCCUGGUGUGCCUGCUUGCUAGUAGGAGGAAUAAUACCUGUUCAUUCUCCUACCGGAACACCAAUAAUGUAUAUGUGCAUCGGCCCCAAGUCAUCAUUGAAAACACAGUGUUCUCAAGUGGACAAGACCUUCCACUGGAUUGUUCAAGAGAGAUCCAGCCUUACAAGAAGGAAAACUAGAGACCAAAAUAAAUCCUCUUCCUUCUCGAUGGGUAUCAUCUGCUUCUUCCUUUCCUAAAAGACUGGGGGAGCUAUCUCUCAUAGUGAGUACAUUCAGUGGUGCAAGUGGCUCUCAGAAGUAGACUCAUGCCUUGCUUGUAUUAGGACUUUACUGAACCCAAAUACCACAAAAUUCUUUAGCUCAGCCCUGCUAGCCUUAACUGAGAAAGUGGAAAUUUAAGAUGGGAUCCGUGCAUUGUAUGGUGUCAACACCCAUGGCAUGGUUUAGUAUCAUACCAUAUGCUUGUUUUUCUGCCUGUGAACUUGUGAGAUAGAAAAACAGCUACCUAGUCAUCCAAUUUUACUGUUUUUAUUUUUAUUGGAUGUUUUGUGUACUUACAUUUCAAAUGUUAUCCACUUUCUCCCCUCUCCCAACCCCUUCCCCUGCUUCUCUGAAGAUGUUCCCACUCCCACCCAUCCACUCUCAAUGUUACUUGUUAUCAUUCAUUCACAUAAUAAAUUUGGACUGUGCAGUUG